UACAGAGGUGGCAAGCGUUGUUCGGAAUUACUGGGCGUAAAGGGCGCGUAGGCGGUUCGUCAAGUCCUGUGUGAAAUCCCCCGGCUCAACUGGGGAACUGCACAGGAAACUAGCGGGCUUGAAUUCGGGAGAGGGAUGCGGAAUUCCAGGUGUAGCGGUGAAAUGCGUAGAUAUCUGGAGGAACACCGGUGGCGAAGGCGGCAUCCUGGACCGGCAUUGACGCUGAGGCGCGAAAGCCAGGGGAGCAAACGGG
rnacentral:rRNA from 1 species